rnacentral:rRNA from 1 species
GUACGAUGAGCCCAGCUUGCUGGGUGGAUUAGUGGCGAACGGGUGAGUAACACGUGAGUAACCUGCCCUUAACUCUGGGAUAAGCCUGGGAAACUGGGUCUAAUACCGGAUAGGAGCGUCCACCGCAUGGUGGGUGUUGGAAAGAUUUAUCGGUUUUGGAUGGACUCGCGGCCUAUCAGCUUGUUGGUGAGGUAAUGGCUCACCAAGGCGACGACGGGUAGCCGGCCUGAGAGGGUGACCGGCCACACUGGGACUGAGACACGGCCCAGACUCCUACGGGAGGCAGCAGUGGGGAAUAUUGCACAAUGGGCGAAAGCCUGAUGCAGCGACGCCGCGUGAGGGAUGACGGCCUUCGGGUUGUAAACCUCUUUCAGUAGGGAAGAAGCGAAAGUGACGGUACCUGCAGAAGAAGCACCGGCUAACUACGUGCCAGCAGCCGCGGUAAUACGUAGGGUGCGAGCGUUAUCCGGAAUUAUUGGGCGUAAAGAGCUCGUAGGCGGUUUGUCGCGUCUGUCGUGAAAGUCCGGGGCUUAACCCCGGAUCUGCGGUGGGUACGGGCAGACUAGAGUGCAGUAGGGGAGACUGGAAUUCCUGGUGUAGCGGUGGAAUGCGCAGAUAUCAGGAGGAACACCGAUGGCGAAGGCAGGUCUCUGGGCUGUAACUGACGCUGAGGAGCGAAAGCAUGGGGAGCGAACAGGAUUAGAUACCCUGGUAGUCCAUGCCGUAAACGUUGGGCACUAGGUGUGGGGACCAUUCCACGGUUUCCGCGCCGCAGCUAACGCAUUAAGUGCCCCCCCUGGGGAGUACGGCCGCAGGCUAAAACUCAAAGAAUUGACAGGGGGCCCGCCCAAUCGGCGGAGCAUGCGGAUUAAUUCGAUGCAACGCGAAGAACCUUACCAAGGCUUGACAUGUUCUCGAUCGCCCUAGAGA